rnacentral:rRNA from 1 species
UUAAAUUGAAGAGUUUGAUCAUGGCUCAGAUUGAACGCUGGCGGCAGGCCUAACACAUGCAAGUCGAACGGUAACAGGAAGAAGCUUGCUUCUUUGCUGACGAGUGGCGGACGGGUGAGUAAUGUCUGGGAAACUGCCUGAUGGAGGGGGAUAACUACUGGAAACGGUAGCUAAUACCGCAUAACGUCGCAAGACCAAAGAGGGGGACCUUCGGG